GCCUUAAUGACUGGGAUAACACCGGGAAACUGGUGCUAAUACCGGAUACGCUUACAGGAACACAUGUUUUUGUAAGGAAAGGAGAAAUUCGCAUUAAGAUGGGUCCGCGUCCCAUUAGCUAGUUGGAGGUGUAAGAGACCCCCAAGGCGACGAUGGGUAGCCGGCCUGAGAGGGUGGACGGCCACACUGGAACUGAGACACGGUCCAGACUCCUACGGGAGGCAGCAGUGGGGAAUCUUCCGCAAUGGGCGAAAGCCUGACGGAGCAACGCCGCGUGAAUGAAGAAGGCCUUCGGGUUGUAAAAUUCUGUCUUCAGGGAAGAAAAAAAUGACGGUACCUGAGGAGGAAGCCCCGGCUAACUACGUGCCAGCAGCCGUGGUAAAACGUAGGGGGCGAGCGUUGUCCGGAAUUACUGGGCGUAAAGGGCGCGUAGGCGGUUUAAUAAGUCUCGAGGUGAAAACUAUCGGCUCAACCGGUAGCGUGCCUGAGAAACUGUUAGACUUGAGGGCAGGAGAGGGGAGUGGAAUUCCCAGUGUAGCGGUGAAAUGCGUAGAUAUUGGGAGGAACACCAGUGGCGAAGGCGGCUCUCUGGCCUGUUACUGACGCUGAGACGCGAAAGCGUGGGGAGCGAACGGGAUUAGAUACCCCGGUAGUCCACGCCGUAAACGAUGGGUGCUAGGUGUAGGAGGUAUCGACCCCUUCUGUGCCGUAGUUAACACAAUAAGCACCCCGCCUGGGGAGUACGGCCGCAAGGUUGAAACUCAAAGGAAUUGACGGGGGCCCGCACAAGCGGUGGAGCAUGUGGUUUAAUUCGACGCAACACGAAGAACCUUACCAGGGUUUGACAUCCCCUGACAGCUGUUGAAAGACAGUUUUCUGACUUUGGUUAGACAGGGAGACAGGUGGUGCAUGGUUGUCGUCAGCUCGUGUCGUGAGAUGUUGGGUUAAGUCCCGCAACGAGCGCAACCCCUACGUUUAGUUGCUAACGCGUGAAGGCGAGCACUCUAGAGGAACUGCCGUU
rnacentral:rRNA from 1 species